UUUAUGGAGAGUUUGAUCCUGGCUCAGGAUGAACGCUGGCGGCGUGCCUAAUACAUGCAAGUCGAGCGAACGGACGAGAAGCUUGCUUCUCUGAUGUUAGCGGCGGACGGGUGAGUAACACGUGGAUAACCUACCUAUAAGACUGGGAUAACUUCGGGAAACCGGAGCUAAUACCGGAUAAUAUUUUGAACCGCAUGGUUCAAAAGUGAAAGACGGUCUUGCUGUCACUUAUAGAUGGAUCCGCGCUGCAUUAGCUAGUUGGUAAGGUAACGGCUUACCAAGGCAACGAUGCAUAGCCGACCUGAGAGGGUGAUCGGCCACACUGGAACUGAGACACGGUCCAGACUCCUACGGGAGGCAGCAGUAGGGAAUCUUCCGCAAUGGGCGAAAGCCUGACGGAGCAACGCCGCGUGAGUGAUGAAGGUCUUCGGAUCGUAAAACUCUGUUAUUAGGGAAGAACAUAUGUGUAAGUAACUGUGCACAUCUUGACGGUACCUAAUCAGAAAGCCACGGCUAACUACGUGCCAGCAGCCGCGGUAAUACGUAGGUGGCAAGCGUUAUCCGGAAUUAUUGGGCGUAAAGCGCGCGUAGGCGGUUUUUUAAGUCUGAUGUGAAAGCCCACGGCUCAACCGUGGAGGGUCAUUGGAAACUGGAAAACUUGAGUGCAGAAGAGGAAAGUGGAAUUCCAUGUGUAGCGGUGAAAUGCGCAGAGAUAUGGAGGAACACCAGUGGCGAAGGCGACUUUCUGGUCUGUAACUGACGCUGAUGUGCGAAAGCGUGGGGAUCAAACAGGAUUAGAUACCCUGGUAGUCCACGCCGUAAACGAUGAGUGCUAAGUGUUAGGGGGUUUCCGCCCCUUAGUGCUGCAGCUAACGCAUUAAGCACUCCGCCUGGGGAGUACGACCGCAAGGUUGAAACUCAAAGGAAUUGACGGGGACCCGCACAAGCGGUGGAGCAUGUGGUUUAAUUCGAAGCAACGCGAAGAACCUUACCAAAUCUUGACAUCCUUUGACAACUCUAGAGAUAGAGCCUUCCCCUUCGAGGGACAAAGUGACAGGUGGUGCAUGGUUGUCGUCAGCUCGUGUCGUGAGAUGUUGGGUUAAGUCCCGCAACGAGCGCAACCCUUAAGCUUAGUUGCCAUCAUUAAGUUGGGCACUCUAAGUUGACUGCCGGUGACAAACCGGAGGAAGGUGGGGAUGACGUCAAAUCAUCAUGCCCCUUAUGAUUUGGGCUACACACGUGCUACAAUGGACAAUACAAAGGGCAGCGAAACCGCGAGGUCAAGCAAAUCCCAUAAAGUUGUUCUCAGUUCGGAUUGUAGUCUGCAACUCGACUACAUGAAGCUGGAAUCGCUAGUAAUCGUAGAUCAGCAUGCUACGGUGAAUACGUUCCCGGGUCUUGUACACACCGCCCGUCACACCACGAGAGUUUGUAACACCCGAAGCCGGUGGAGUAACCUUUUAGGAGCUAGCCGUCGAAGGUGGGACAAAUGAUUGGGGUGAAGUCGUAACAAGGUAGCCGUAUCGGAAGGUGCGGCUGGAUCACCUCCUUU
rnacentral:rRNA from 1 species